AAUUGGAGGGCAAGUCUGGUGCCAGCAGCCGCGGUAAUUCCAGCUCCAAUAGCGUAUAUUAAAGUUGUUGCAGUUAAAAAGCUCGUAGUUGAAUUUCGGGGUUAGUAGGUUGGUCAUGCCUCUGGUAUGUACUGAUCUCACUGAUUCCUCCUUCCUUAUGAACCGUAAUGCCAUUAAUUUGGUGUUGCGGGGAAUUUGGACUGUUACUUUGAAAAAAUUAGAGUGUUUAAAGCGGGCUAACGCUUGAAUACAUUAGCAUGGAAUAAUGAAAUAGGACGUUCGAUCUUAUUUUGUUGGUUUCUAGGAUUGACGUAAUGAUUAAUAGGGAUAGUUGGGGGCAUUAGUAUUCAAUUGUCAGAGGUGAAAUUCUUGGAUUUAUUGAAGACUAACUACUGCGAAAGCAUUUGCCAAGGAUGUUUUCAUUAAUCAAGAACGAAAGUUAGGGGAUCGAAGACGAUCAGAUACCGUCGUAGUCUUAACCAUAAACUAUGCCGACUAGGGAUCGGAUGAUGUUAAUUUUUUAAUGACUCAUUCGGCGCCUUACGGGAAACCAAAGUGU
rnacentral:rRNA from 1 species